rnacentral:rRNA from 1 species
CAGCCGCCACGGGAAUACGUAGGUGGCAAGCGUUGUCCGGAAUUAUUGGGCGUAAAGCGUGCGCAGGCGGUUGUGUAAGACAGGUGUGAAAUCCCCGGGCUUAACCUGGGAACUGCGCUUGUGACUGCACAGCUAGAGUAUGGCAGAGGGGGGUGGAAUUCCACGUGUAGCAGUGAAAUGCGUAGAGAUGUGGAGGAACACCGAUGGCGAAGGCAGCCCCCUGGGCCAAUACUGACGCUCAUGCACGAAAGCGUGGGGAGCAAACAGGAUUAGAUACCCCCGUAGUCCCUGUCUCUUAUAC